rnacentral:lncRNA from 1 species
AAAAAUAUUGCAAUGGAAAAAAACAUUUUGCUGUCUUCAGUGUUUGGUUCAGCAUAAUUAACGUGACUAAUGCAAGACAAUUUUCUGAUAGUUAUUAUAUUAGAGAGCUUAGCUGACUCAUAACUGCCCCCAUGACAGAGCCAGAAUGCAAAUUACUUGGAUAGAAAUAGCACAGAGCUGGUUUGAUUAAAAUGUGAUACAUAUUUUGAAUUAAAAAUAUGCAAGGUCUUACCAAAUGACCUCAGUGUCGUGUCUCUCCUUGCCCCAAGGCCCCUGAAGGAAUUUGCAUGAUCAUUUGGAGACAGCUUCUCCCUUUCCCUCUGUGGAUCCAGAAUCUCUGCCAUUCAUGGAAAAUCAGCAUGAAAAGCAUAAAUCCAUGGGAAUGAGUGGAAUUGAGUGUGGCACCAUCUCUGCUGAACUGUGGAAACUUUCUGCAAUUAAUUGCACAAUCACUUCAUUUGGAAGAGCAACUGCUAUCAGCUCUGAAUGGCUCCCACAUCUCAGGCACCACUGAGCAGCGGGGUGUUGGCAGCAGAGAGGCUGAAACCUUCUCUCAACACAGGCAAAUAUUUCUGGGCAUCAGCAGCUCCUGCAGCAGAGGUGAGGGCAGGAGCAUCACAGCUGAGAUGGGUGGGGAGGCUGGGCUUGGGAUCCUCACUAACAAGUCAGGGAGGUGAAAAUGGUAUUGAAUUUGCCAGCAAAAUCCUUAAUCCUGGAGCACAGG